CAAAACACAACAAAUUGGGUUUGUGAUUAGCCACUUUGUCACUAAUCAUCAAUUUCAAUUGCAAUCAUAUUGGUGUACUGUUCGCUGUUUUGUGCCGGUGGCUUUAGUAUUUUUUCACGGUCCAUGCAUGGCGUUCACAUGCCCUUGGCCAUGCGUGGUUACCAAUCCGUCACAAUCGGCACAACAACAACAACUCUGUUUUCUCAGGCCCUAACAAUCACAAAUUCCACCAAUGCUUCGGAUCCUCUUCCGCAACCAAUCAUUCGAGGUGAAUCUUAGGUACCGAAAUACCACAGGCUGCAUAUGUCAAAGGCGUUAAGUCUUGCAAAUUGUAUUUGCUCGGACAACUUGUUAUAAACAGGAGGGAUAAACCUUACACCACAAAGGAUCUCAUUGCAAAGAUUAUGAAACAAUGGAAAACGACGUGCAAUGGAAAAUGUUACCGCUCGGCAGGGGAUACUACGAGUUCUCGUUUGCAUCAUUUGAGGAUUUACGUUCAGUUUGGGCAAUGGGAACAAUUAACUUGAAACCGGGAAUUCUUCGUCUAUUUGAGUGGAUAAGGAUUUUAAUUUUUGGCUUAAUACAUCAUUUGGUCCCUUAAUUUAUUUUUGGUUUUCAUUUUGGUCCCCCUAACUAUAAAGUGUCUCAAUUUGGUCCCAUAAAUCUUCUGCCGUUUACCAUUUUGGUCCUCUCCGUUAGUUUUUAACAUAAAAAAUCUAAGAUGAACCAUAUUUAAAGAUGGUUCACCGUAGAUCUUAUUAAAUUUUCUAAUUUUAACCAUUUGAUUUUUUCUUUAAAUGCGGACCGUUGAAUUAUGUCGGGUCUAUUGUACUUUACUGUGAACCACUAACACCUAAUUCUUUUAUCAUUUUCUUCAUCUUCAUCUCUCAUCUUCUUCUUCUUCAUCUUCAUCAAUCCUAUCCAGGAAAAAGCAGUAGCACCAUAUUGAAAACUCAAACUAAAACAACAAUAAAUUUCAUCAAAUUAAAACACUUAAACAUUCAAAUAGAAUUAAAACCCAGAUUUUCUUUUUCUACAAAAAUCCAGAAAUCAUCAUCAAUAGAGUAACAACACAUCAAGAAAUCAAAUUCAACCCUUUUUGAUUCUUUUCAUCAUCAUCAUCAUGAAUUAAAAAAAAUAGAUUUCUCCAAAUUCAGCACAUCAACAACACAACAACAACAUGGUGCUUUGAAACAACAACAACAUCAUAAAAAAAAUGUGUGAAAAUGGAAUAUGCAUGAUUUCCAUUAAUUUCAAUUUCAUUUUCUUUCAGCAGAAAGAAAGCUGAACAAUACUCUGGUUUUGUUUUGUAUGUUUUUUUUUUGUUUAAAAAUCAUAUUUUUAGGAAUUAUUUGUGCAACCUCUGAUUUUUUGUAAUUGGGUUUGAACAUGCAUAGAAGGAACAAGGAAAGGUUGUUAAUUGUUGAGACAAAGAAAUGGAUUCUGCGAGAGUUGGCUUUCGAAGUUGCAGCCUCGUGAUAAAAUGAAGGCAAAGAAGAGGGAUGAAGAUUGUAAUAAUGAUGGAAAUGUAUGCCCAUUUGUAAUGUUG
rnacentral:lncRNA from 1 species